GCCAACAUGGUGUAGGGGUUUGAGCAUUGGACUGUAACUCUAGAGAACAGGGUUCAAGUCCCUGCUUGCA